rnacentral:tRNA from 2 species
GGUCCGUUCGUCUAGGGGUUAGGACGCCAAGAUUUCGUCUUGGUAACAGAGGUUCGAUUCCUUUACGGACUACAA